rnacentral:rRNA from 1 species
AUUGAACGCUGGCGGCAGGCCUAACACAUGCAAGUCGAACGAGUGGCGGACGGGUGAGUAAUGUCUGGGAAACUGCCUGAUGGAGGGGGAUAACUACUGGAAACGGUAGCUAAUACCGCAUACCAUCAGAUGUGCCCAGAUGGGAUUAGCUAGUAGGUGAGGUAACGGCUCACCUAGGCGACGAUCCCUAGCUGGUCUGAGAGGAUGACCAGCCACACUGUAACGUAGGCACGGUCCAGACUCUUACGAGAGGCAGCCGGGGGGAAUAUUGCACAAUGAGCGCAAGCCGGAGGCAGCCAUGCCGCGUGUAUGAAGAAGGCCUUCGGGUUGUAAAGUACUUUCAGCGGGGAGGCGUUACCCGCAGAAUAAGCACCGGCUAACUCCGUGCCAGCAGCCGCGGUAAUAC